rnacentral:tRNA from 1 species
GAACUAAGAGAUCCAAAAAAAAGCUUCUAACUUUAUUUUUAAGCAGUGAAACACUGUUUUUAGUUCU